ACGCAAUAGAUACCUGGUAGUCCACGCCGUAAACGAUGUGGAGCCGGUGUCGGUGCGUGAUUGCGCGCAGCGGUGCCCAAGCUUACGCGAUGACUCCACCGCCUGGGAACUACGGCCGCAAGGCUAAAACUCAAAGGAAUUGACGGGGCCGCACAAGCAGCGGAGCGUGUGGUUUAAUUACGACGCAACACGAAGCACCUCACCUGGGUUUGUACAUGCUAGUGCAAGCUGCUGAAAGGCAGUCGCCUUCGAGGGUCGUAGCACAGGUGCUGCAUGGCUGUCGUCAGCUCGUGUCGUGAGAUGUUGGGUUAA
rnacentral:rRNA from 1 species